rnacentral:lncRNA from 1 species
UCUUUCCCAUUUUUGAUACCGUAUCUACUCUUUGAGAACACCAUGUCGGUGACGAAGUUUCAAGCCAUGAUAUCCGGGCUGUUGCAGUUGAGCAGUUCGCUGGAGUGGGUGGUGACAAAGAAGUCCGGUCGGACGUCAGAAGCAGACCUGCUGGCUGGCGUUGAAGAUUCUAAACCUCAAGACCAGCUGCAGAAGCUGAAUCGUGUCACUUCGGAAUCUGGUCUUGAGGCGUUAAAAAAAGUGCAAAAGGACAGCGCUGUAGUUGUUCCAAACGCUGCUCCUUCUCUGAAGAAAAAGAAAAAGAAUCGUCUGUACUGGAACGAGCUUGCACUAGCAUGCUUGCUCCUCACAGCUGCGAUGAGGAGUUUGCUGACAGAGCACGGGCUCCACUUCUACUUUUUGCUUUUCCAGGGUGUCUCAUUUCUCGUAGUCGGGCUCGACCUGAUCGGGGAGCAAGUGAGCUGAAUUGUGUAAAUCAUUGAGUGGGUGGUCCUUGUUAAAAUCUCGUGUGUCUGCCCCAAAUCAUGGGUUGCUUCCGUAUUAAAACGUCCCAGGAGGCGCAAGCAACCCUGAAUUUGGUGCAGCCACAUUGGAAGGAUGAGCGAUUCGAUUGUGCAAUUGCAGGUGCAGUUGCAUUUGAUGCUCCAGAGCGGUUCUGAAGUGUCAAGUUUUUGUGCACAUUAGGUAGACAUUGGUAGGAGCUUGAGGUGUUCAUUGCGCGGCCUGCUGGAGGCAAAGGGAGACAAGCCAAUAGGGUAUGCCAGCCCAUGCUGGGUACGCUCGUCGCGGCCAAGCCUGCACCCUAUUAGUAGUUGUUUCAACGUCAGACCAUUCUUUUGAGCCAAUACAUUUAUUCAGAUGCCUUUACGACAGGCGCUAGCAUUAGUCAAUAUUAACUACGGAUUGCGCUUUGGGCUUAUGUGAAUAAACCAUCAGUCGUUGGUGUCAGAACUAAACACCAGUAAUGUAUGCUUCUACAU